GCGGCCAGUUUCUUGCGAAAAUUUCUUUCUCUUCAAACAAGCCCUAGAAAAAGUGAGAAAAUAAUGGCUUGAGUUUUUAAGCUUUAAUUAAUUAAUCUUCAAUUUCUUCAUUCAAUUUUUUUUUUAAUUUGGGUGAAGUUGGUGACAGAAUCGAGCUCGCAUGAAGUUUGUAAGGAUUUGCUGAGAUGUUGUAUUUAUAGAGGUUGCUUCUCGUGGAAUAAGGGAGGUUUUUUAAUCCAUUCUAUCUAGCAUGUUUCUCAUUAUUGGUCUUUUGGAAUCUGGUUGAUGUUGAUAGUUCAAAUGAAUAGUAAUGGUCCCAUGUCCAGUGAGCUGGCUAAACUAAAUCAUGAUGUACAAGAUGAACACAAGGAAACAAGGGAUGGGGUCAUUGGUGAUGGCCAGGAGCUUUCUGAGGAAGAUGAGUCACGGAUUAAUGACGAAGUAGAAGAUGUGAAUGAUGGGUGUAUGAAAGUAGUGCAGGUCCAGGCCCUUGUCUGGCCUGCUAGGCAGCAGCAACAUCCUCAAGGGCCUUUGGUUCGCUGGGAGAAGUUUCUGCCUCUUAGAUCACUAAAGGUUCUGCUGGUGGAGAAUGAUGAUUCAACUCGCCAUGUUGUCACUGCAUUGCUAAGAAAUUGUGGCUAUGAAGUUACAGCAGUAGCAAACGGUCUUCAGGCUUGGAAAAUUCUAGAAGAUCUAACCAAGCAUAUUGAUCUGGUUUUAACCGAGGUAGUCAUGCCUUGUUUAUCAGGCAUUGGCCUUUUAUGCAAGAUUAUGAACCACAAAACUUGCAAGAAUACUCCUGUGAUUAGUGAGUAUAUUUCCUCUGUUUUCUGUUUCGUCCAUUCAAAACUAACAUUGCUUACCACAUUCUUCUUAACAAAUUGAUACUUUUAACUGCUACACCUGGUGAGUUUUAUGUGCAGUGAUGUCUUCUCACGAUUCGAUGAGUAUAGUCUUUAAGUGUUUGUCAAAGGGAGCAGUUGACUUUUUAUUGAAGCCUAUUCGAAAGAAUGAGCUUAAAAACCUUUGGCAGCAUGUUUGGAGAAAAUGCCACAGCGUGAGUUGCUAUAGUUAUCCACUUUAUGUAUGAAACUUUAUUGUGGACCAAUUUUGGACUCUAAACUGCAGGUAUGUCCUUUGUAUAUGUAUUGAAAUGUCAAUAUGUGGAGCAAUUCCAACUGAAAAAGGGUGUUGAUUUUCCUUCCUUUUUUUUUAAGUGCUUACAUUUAGCUAAAUUUUAGCGAUAACCAUUUUGGAAGCUUUAUACCAAUUUUAUCUUUACCUAUGUGUUCAUCAUUGAUUUACCACUCAUUGAUAUAGGAUCACAGAAAAGUGCAAAAUUUUGCUAUUCUAUUUUGCAUUCACUAUUCAUCCUUUCAUCAGUCUAGUGGCAGUGGGAGUGAAAGUGGCGUAUGGACUCAAAAACCCAGGAAGUCAAAAAGUGCUGAGUCCGACAACACCACCGGCAGCAAUGAUGAGGAUGAUAUCGGAAACACUGGUUUGAAUGCAAGAGAUGGAAGUGACCAUGGAAGUGGCACUCAGAGCUCUUGGACAAAAAGGCCCAUAGAAGUUGACAGCCCAAAACCAAUGUCACCAUGGGAGCAGGUAGCUGCCCCUGCUGAUAGCAGUUGUGCCCAAGUUGUACAUUCAACGUCUGAAGCAUUUGGCAAUAACUGGGAGCCUGUGACCAUGCUGGAGUGUGAGGGGCAGGAUGAUGAUCACGGCAAUGUCGUGGGCAAGGACCUGGAGAUUGGAGUACCUAGAGUUCCAAAUUUGCAGCCUGAACAUCCAAGUGAAAAAGUAGUGGCUUUCGCAGCAGGCAAUAAUGGAGAGAAACUUCCUGAAAUAAACUCAAAGAACAAUGUUGAGCAAAUAGAGAAAGCACAACUAGAGUUUAUCAACAGUGACAAACCCAAGGGGGAAUCGAGAAACCAAGCAGCUGAUGGUAUGGGUGUAAUCAACAACAGUACUGAUCCUCAGAUAGGAAGUACAGUACUUGACAUCCCAAACAGUCCCUCCAAGGUAUCGAAUCAUAAAGAUAAGGUUGUCAAUGAAACUAAGGUGAUCCCAUCUCUUGAGCUUAGGUUGAAGGGGCUUCGAGAUUUUGGAGAUACCGGGACCAUUGCUUAUGACCGAAAUGUUCUUAAACAUUCAGACCUCUCAGCAUUCUCAAGGUAUAAUGCUGUUUCAACCGCUAAUCAGGCUCCAACAGGGAAUGUGGGCAGCUGUUCUCUACUUGAUAAUAGUUCAGAGGCAGUAAAAACAGGCUCUCUGCAAAAUUUUCUUUCGAACUCAAUUAGUACCCCUCCCAUUCAGCAUUCCAAUGGCAGUAAUAACAACAAUGACGUGGGUUCCAUUACUAAUAAUGCAUUCACCAAACCAGCAGUAUGCAGUGAGAAGCCUAAACGCAAAUCUACUGUUAAAGAUCCACAUCCCUCAUCUACUUUCCAGGCAGUGCAGAAUGGCCAUAUGCUUGUCCCUCAACCUACAAUGCAACGUAAGGAUGAUGAUGCAAAAACUAUUUUAACCCAAGGAAGAGACACAAAACACCAGGUUCAAUUGGAACACCACCAUCACCGUUACCAUUACCAUCAUCACCACCACCAUGUUCAUAACAUGCCCCAGCAACAGCAGCAGCUUACCAACCAUGAUGAUUCAUUAUUGAAAACUAUGUCAGCUGCAGCUCCCCAGUGUGGUUCGUCUAACAUGUUGAGCAGAGCAAUAGAUGGCAAUGUUGGUAAUUAUAGUUUGAAUGGGAGUGCAUCAGGAAGUGAACAUGGAAGCAGUGGACUGAAUGGAAGCAGUAUCGCUCUAAAUCCCACGGAAGCAAACAUUGAGAGAAAUAAUGGAGUAGCUGGAAAACUCAGAGCAGGAUGUGGAAUUAGGAGCAUAAUUACUAUUGAUCAAAACCGUUCUGCACAAAGAGAGGCUGCUUUGAACAAAUUUCGCCAGAAGAGGAAAGAGAGAUGCUUUGAUAAGAAGGUUCGAUAUCAAAGUAGGAAGAAACUGGCAGAACAAAGACCACGCAUUCGAGGACAAUUUGUACGACAAGCAGCAAAUGGAAUUAAAGAUAAGGAUGCAUUUAGCUAACCAGACCCUAUCCCCUAUUGUGCUGUGGAAUCAUGUGCAUGAGAUUGUUAAUAGCUGUACAUGGGAGUAGCAUUUAGAUUCCAUUGGGGCAAUAUUUGGGUGUUAGGCGGUAAAAGUUACAACUCUCUCACUAUCAAGACUAUACAAAUGACAAAUCAUAGAAGAACAUCUCGAACUAUUGUUAUGGAAAUCAUAGAGGAACCUCUUGAACUAUUAUUAUGGACUAAUGUGGUUCCUAUUGUUAUGUACUAUUACGACCAGAAGGUAAUCCUUGAAAGGUUAGCCUUCUCUAAUAAAGAAACUAGACAUGGUGUAAUGUAGUUUUAUAAGACUGUUCAUGAACCCAGUUCCAUAGAGGGGUGUUUGAAAGACUUUUUCACCAAUAUCUGCUCUGCUUCUUGAGUCCCUUAAAAUUCUGUUAAUUGUUUCAGCCUUAACUUAGUUUGCUUUAUAAAGGUGUUACCAUGGAGAGUGAAUAUUUUGGAUAAAUAAAGACUGCAGCAACUGGGCUAUCGGACUCCACGAAGCUAUCCAAGGGGAUAGUUGGAUCUAAAUUGCAGUGGCUUAUACUUGUUAUUAGGAUGUUUUGUUUUCUUGGUUUGUUCUAUGGAACAUCGCCCCAUGGAUCAGACGCAUUAUUGUCGCUAGAGUAUAGAUGAAAGUUCUUCAAGUAAGGAGUUUUGGUUAUUUCAAGGAAGAUUUAUCUUCUCUCUCUUCUUGGAGGCUUUAUUCUGAAGUUGAAAAGUCUGUACUUGGAAUAUUCAAAAAUUUCCUUGGUGCUUCUUGGGUUGGUUUUACCUGGAGGUUUGAUCCGAGAGAUUUCACUUCUUAACUUCUUAUUCUAGGUUUGAUUUUCUAAUAAAGUAAUUCUUCAAGGUAGUUUAGUAGAGUAAAUAUUAAAAAAAAAUUGUGUUGAAAUCAGAGAAAAUUAAGUAUUUCUAUUUCUAUUUCAUUGUACAAAUUGAUUUACAAUUAUUCUAAUUUAUACAUAAAGAAUAAAAUCUAAAUAGGGAAAAAAGAAAGGUUAAUAAAUACAAAUAUUCCUAAUU
rnacentral:misc_RNA from 1 species